GAAAAAUAUGGUGAAAGCCAGCGAGUCCUUCAACGACACUGACAGUUCCGUGAGCUUGAAUCCUGGCGCAGGAGGCCAGCAAAAGUACACAGUCAGCCAAGUAGAGUUUGCUGGAGAUUUAUGCGGAAAUCCAGCCGUAGAUGCAGGACUGCUGGAUUUAUAACAGGGGCGGGAUAAUUUGUUCUUGUGUGCUAAGAUAAGGGUAAACAAAUUUCCUGCUGUGAUGUAAGCCCCUAUCUGCACAAGUCAGGAAAGAUCCCCUGCCCUGUUGCCAAACCGUGUGCUCCACAAUUGAUCCUCAGAGACUUGUCUCUCUGAGACUUCAUCUAGAGGUCAGCUAGAGGUGGAAGGACAUGCCUGGGUGCAGAGGGGGGGACUCUUGUGUUCCUGUGUGCUUCAAAGCUUAGAACUAAAAGUGGCCACGGCACUGGCUAUAGUAUUUGGAAAAUUCUGGAGAGAAGCUGGGGUGGUGUCGAGUAACGACCACCCCUGAACAUGACUGAGGAAAUGUGCCAGGAAAUGUAUGUUUCCAUUUGAGCCCACGACUGGCUUUGGUCCAGCAGUCUCACCCACCUUGGGCCUGGCUCUGCCCUUUCUGUUGUCCACAUCAGGUAGAUCAGUGUUCUCUGUCCCUAGAGUUUCUUGUGUAGCUCCCCGAAGGGAGCCCUCAGGGAGCAGUGGCGGUUGGGGGGCUGUCUGUCUCUGUCGCACCUUCCUCCUCUGGAGGACAAAGGCACUGUUUGAUGAUCUGUGUAUCCCUCAUGCAUGAGCUUCUCUACAUGUGCUAGUAACACAGACAUAAGAAAGAAGACCAGAGCUCUCUGGGUGAAUCUCUUUAAGAUACACAGGUGCUGAAACCAAGGCUCCAGAACCAAGAGAACAACAGCUGUUAUGUAGAGAAGCCAAGGUUCAAGCCUAUGACUGCGUUAGACCAUGCAGCUCACUCUGCCUGAGCUAGUGCUGGAGAACAAAUUCCAGACUAUACAGUGUCCGUGUUCCUCUGGGGCCUCCUGAGCCUAAGACUGGGCCCCCUUUCCCUCAUCUGUACAAUAGGGGGUGAUGGACCGAGACCCCACAGGCUGCUUGUCAGUGGGCGUCAGGAGUGCAGGAGGAGGAGGGACAUAUCUGGGAAACUGAGUUCUUAAGGCUUGAGCAACAUCAAGUGUGAGUCUCUCCAAAAACUGAGCACAGACUUGAGCAUGAGAGAGGUGAGCAGGGAGCCGGUCUCCAGCACCAGGCCUUCCAGAGGCAGUCCAUCCCAGCACCUGCAAGUCCCGUCUAGGAUGGCGUAACCAGGUUGGUGUGAUAAAGAACAUGAUCCCUGAAGAUGGACAUGGUCACAUUUGUGUGCAGAGCAAGGCAGACAUACAUGCAUGUGUGUGCCCACGUGGAUACAGUCAUCAAGAGAGUGUGUGUGUGUUUAGCCGGAGACACAAGAAAUACAGGAUAAGAUUCUUUUACAUUGCAGAUCAUAUCAUCAAAACUCUCCACCUUCCCCUACAUGGGACAUUAUAGAUUAUUAAGGUCUCUCAUUAGCAAGUUUCCCUCUGUGUUGUGAUAUUACAUUUUGCAGAAAACAAAGAUUAUAUAUAUUACAUAUAACCUAUAUAUGUCUUAUAUCUAUAUCUAUAGCUAUGUAAUAUCUAUCUAUAUUCUUGCUUUUUUGCCUUAAUUUUUUUCCUGUAUAGAAUAUUUCUGGAAGUUUAUCCAAAAAGCUGGUAAGCAUGGUUGCCUCUGAAUAGGGAUCUAAGGGCCAGAGGCAGGGAAAAGAAUAAUUUUUCAUAAUACCCUCUUGUAUAUUGUUUGCAUCUUUUAAUCAUGGAUGUGGAUUCCUUAUC